rnacentral:rRNA from 1 species
CCUACGGGAGGCAGCAGUGAGGAAUAUUGGUCAAUGGGCGCAAGCCUGAACCAGCCAAGUAGCGUGAAGGAUGACUGCCCUACGGGUUGUAAACUUCUUUUGUAAAGGAAUAAAGUGAGGCACGUGUGCCUUUUUGUAUGUACUUUAUGAAUAAGGAUCGGCUAACUCCGUGCCAGCAGCCGCGGUAAUACGGAGGAUCCGAGCGUUAUCCGGAUUUAUUGGGUUUAAAGGGAGCGUAGAUGGGUGGUUAAGUCAGUUGUGAAAGUCUGCGGCUCAACCGUAAAAUUGCAAUUGAUACUGGCAGUCUUGAGUAUAGUUGAGGUAGGCGGAAUUUGUGGUGUAGCGGUGAAAUGCUUAGAGAUCACGCAGAACUCCGAUUGCGAAGGCAGCUUACUAAGCUGCUACUGACAUUGAUGCUCGAAAGUGUGGGUAGCAAACAGGAUUAGAUACCCUAGUAGUC